ensembl:lncRNA
AUGCCUGAUUGCUUCAUUUUUGUGCAUGAAGUGAACUGUUUUGGCUUUUCAAUGAGGCUUAUGCUUGGAGUAACACGCUUCAGUGGAUCUCUGAGUUUUUAUUCGUUACAGACACUGCUGAAGAGGCAACUUCCAUCUCAUAGACAUUCUGCAUUAUUCUUCUGCCGGUAUCAUGAAAGAACAGGUAUGCUGCCAGUCAGAGGUGCAAAUAUGCAUCUUUCCCCAGGACAUGAGCUGUCUGAGAGCCUGUAAUCAAUGACGUUGGUUCGCUGCCCACUGAACCCCUCUGGACAUGCUGACACCUGCUUCUGGAGACGUCUCCCUGCCUCGGUCCACCCACAGAUCAAUGGGACACGCGUCCGCUGUUGUACUCUGAUAUUCUAUAUUGACAGAUCGGUCUGUCGCUGUGAACUUUGCUCCAGUGUUACUGAUAUGAUUGGCAGGUUCAGUUCAGUUUUGACGUAUUGAUUUAACAUCUCCCCUUUUUUGACAUGUCUUGUGGGACGGGUUACGUGUCCCAGUGACAGUCGUUGGGAUCCCAAGAGCCUUGGACUGUUUGAGGCCAGAGGGAUAGAUCUGAUUGCUUUUCUCUCUACUGUGUUGAGAUGAGUCACUUUUGAUACUAGAGCAUAAGUUCAGCAGUUUAUUUGCCACUGAAGACUGGAGUAAUGAUGCUGAAAAUACAGCUGCACAUCACAGAAAUACAUUACAGUUUAACAGAGAUUCACACAGAAAACAGCUGUUUUACAUUCUAAUAAUAUUUUACAAUAUUACUUUGUUGUAUUUUUUUAAAUGCUAGUGUAUUUCUUUAUCUAUAUUAUCCCAAUUAGUCAACACUGCGCAGUUAUUUGAUAUAUUAAUGUUAAUAACAAACUUUUGUUUGCAAUAUCUCUAUAAUGUUAUUAAAAUUAAUUAGACUAUUAUGAAGGAUCGACCCCAAUUCCUGUAAAGAAUUAAUAAAACUGGUGAAUGUGAUUAGCAUGAUGUAGCUUAGUGAUUAGCAUUGGCUAAACCAACACACUGUGUGAUGUCAUCGAGUUCAGUUUGUGUUAUUUCCUGAUCUCCAGCCCCGCCAUUAUCCUGAUCCCGAAUCUAUCCAUUUUUUAACAAUUAAAAACUGAAGGAUAAAUGUGGAUGUGUAAGGGCAUUCACAUCCGAGGUCUGACAGACGGCGGUGGGCUCCGGGUCUGCUGUCCCGCUUCGGGCCGGACUCCUGCCACACACACACACGCACACACACACACACACACACACUGACACACACACUGACACACACACACACACACUGACACACACACUAAAACACACACACACUGACACACACACUAAAACACACACACACACACACACACACACACACACACACACACAAACACACACUGACACACACACACACACACACACACACACACUCACACUAAAACACACACACACACACACACACUAAAAACACACACACACACACACACACUAAAACACACACACACACACACAGACACACAAAAACACACACACACACACACACACACACACACACACACUAAAACACACACACACUAAAAACACACACACACACUACAACACACACGACACACACACACACACACACACACACACACACACACACUGACUGGAGAAAAGCCUGUUUCCAUAGUGAUCUGCUGUAUGAGUUUCCAUAAAUAGAGGCACCUGUGUCUAAUCGAUAAUGCUAAUAUUUAUACUGGAAAGCCUCUUAUGAUGGACGCUUCAUUCCAUUUGUGCCUGACCGGUCUGCGUCUGAUCCGCACGCCGCUUCAUGCGCUGUAACACUCACACGGACAGAUGGCCAUCGAUCUGUUAGUUAACCAUCAAAUUAAUCUUCUGUUUUAUAUACAACGGCUUCAUCAUAUCUGAUUAAACUACUGUUUACCGAGUGACAGAAAGCGUAUACUUUACCUGGAACUGCCAGAAUGCACUUGAUACAGAUCUGAAUGUCAACACAGAGACAAACACGUGUACACAAACACACCCGGGCCGCCGUGCACCUGCUGUUGUGAUUGAUACACUCUUAGACUGGUGGGAUAUGGGAUGACUGGUUAACAUGUAGCAUGAACCCGCUCAUCUGUGUAUGAGGGCUAGUUAAAAUGUGCUGCCAGUACAAACAGCUUUUUGUUUUAUGGUUCUUUAUUUGAACUUCACAUUUAUAGCAGCUGUAAACUUGUGCACAGGCUCGUGUCAGGCAGCAAUCAUGGACGGGGGGCCAGGCGCUGGUAAUCUCUGGGGUUUGGGGUCAGUAUCCCGCAGGGCGUCAAUGCCUGCAGCUGUCCCUGUAAUUCCCUGCACAAUGAACGCCUUGUUCUGAACUCUAAUCCACUGCCGUAAACAGCACAUGUGGAGCUGGCCUUGGGUUCACGCUCACCUCAGACAGGAACAGUCCUUUCAGAUGCUAAACUGGAGGAACAUGUUCUCCAACGUCAGCUGAAUUCAUUAGAUUCUUCAGAUCUUUCUGGAGGUUUACUGUUCAUUUGUGAAGCUUGUGUCACCACAGAUAACUCUUGAUCUUUCUGACUCUGAGGCACCUCACUGUCAAAGACAGCAUUUGAAGGCCCCUCAAGAUACUUAUGAUACUUUUGCUGUAAAAAAAAAAAAAAAAACUUGUUUUGUUUUUGUGUAGGGGUUGUGAUGUAAAUUAUUUUCCUAAAAUAUUUAAAUAGCUAUAGUAAUAGUAAUGUAGAUAAUAUAAUAACAGAGUAAAUAAUAAUACUAAAUAACAUUUAUGAUAUUUAAUUGGAUUUUUUAAUGUCCCUGAUUUAUUAAUAUUUAAUUGAAUUAAAAAUACAAUUAAAAAAAAAUCCAUAAUAACAGAAGCUGUUUCAAUAACUGAAUUUUUUUUUUUUUUUGUUUUCUUCAGGCUUUACACUAUUACUGAUGAAUUUAAAUGACUUUUAUUGUCAUUUGUCAAUGCAGGUUUUUUAUUUCUUUAUAUUUUUCACUCAUAAUUAGCGAUUUCGCAGUAAUUUUUACCAAAUGCAAUAUUUUAGAACUGGACAGCUAAUAUAUAUGUCCCUGAUUUAUUAUUAUUAUUUUUAUUCCCAUGACUUUUCCAGGUCUACAAAUCACACUUAAAAAGACAGGUGUUAAAAAAAUGAAUUAAAAAUGAAAAUUAAAAAAAAAAAAAAAAUGUACUUGAACUAAUAAAUAUGAUAUGAAAAAAACAAAACAAACAAACACACCAUUGAUUAAUUGGCUGGGAAAUGAUUGGAAACUGCUAACCUGCAAGAGUUUGAGAGCAGAUGCUGAAGACAGCUCAUGAUCCAGGACACUGCUGGGGUUUGUGGGUCACUCUUCUGCACC